GAUGAAGAACGCAGCGAAAUGCGAUACGUAAUGUGAAUUGCAGAAUUCAGUGAAUCAUCGAAUCUUUGAACGCCUAUUGCGCUCUCUGGUAUUCCGGAGAGCAUGCUUGUUUGAGUAUCAGUAAACACCUCAACUUCCAUAUCUUCUUUGAAAUGGGAGUUGGACUUGAGUGAUCCCAACGCUUUUCCUCACCGAAAAGUGGCGGGUUACUUGAAAUGCAGGUGCAGCUGGACUUUUCUCUGAGCUAUAAGCAUAUCUAUUUAGUCUGCCUAAAAAACAGAUUAUUACCUUUGCUGCAGCUAACAUAAAGGAGAUUAGUUCUUGUGCUGACUGAUGCAGGAUUCACAAAGACAGGCUUCGGCCGACUUUGUAAACUCGAUCUCAAAUCAAGUAAGACUACCCGCUGAACUUAAGCAUAUCAAUAAGCGGAGGA
rnacentral:misc_RNA from 1 species